AAUAAACAUUAAAAUUUUUUUUAAAGAAGCAAUUUUGUAUAUGCUAAUUAACAUUGUAAAACUAAAAUGUACUCUUAAAUUUCUUACACAGGUUACAACUGACCAGUGAAUGACUAUGUAUUUUUCUUAGCCCCUCGUCCUUUUAGGUAUUGUUCCUCUUCUUCCAUUGCCCCCAAGAUGCUGUGUGAUAUCUUUGCAGAGAAACAAGUCAGCUCUCUCAGAUGUGGUUCUCUGCUUUCUUUGGGGUAUCUGAAUGUUUCUUCCUGACGUCCAUGGCAUGUGACUGGUAUUUGGCCAUCGGAAUCUUCAGUGGCCUGAUCAUGAUGGUCUCCCAUGUUUGCAUCCUGGUGGCCAUCUGGAAGAUCCAGAUUGCUCAUGGGAGACAGAACCCUUUGUCCACCUGCUCCUCUCACCUGGUAGUUGUCUCCAUCCUGUAUGGGACUCUUUUCUUAUCUCUGUUCGGCCUGGCUCAAGUCCCUCCCUGGAUCUCAAUAAAGUGAUUUCUCUGUUGUACACUGUGGUGAUGCCCAUGUGGAACCCCCUCAUCUAUAGCUUGGGGAAUAAGGAGGUAAGAUACACAUUUGGGAUGAAGUUUGAAAGGAAAACUUCUCCAGCAGUUUUGGUAAUUAGAAUUCUGUUGUGUUGUACCUUAGACGUUGGUUUAUAACAUGUCAAAAGAACAGUGGGCUGAGAACUAGAAGUUCCCUUUAUUCCUGAGUAGUUACCAGGUGACUUAUAGACUGCUUAUAUUUUUUUCAUCAGUCUUCUCCAUUAUAAAGUGAAGGGGAAUACAAAAUAAUUUACAGAUAUAUUAAAGGUACAAAUGUACUAUAUGCCAACAGAAAGUACAGAGGAACAUUUAUAUAGUCUCAUAUGUGGGAGGACAUUUAUUCCAGAUUAGAAGAGCAAAUGUUGUAAGAGAAAGGUCAACAGUGUUCAUUAAUAAAGGUUCAUACACCUUGUUCUGUUGAACA
rnacentral:lncRNA from 1 species